AAGAGAUGUGCCAAGUCACUGCCACCCAAGCGAAGCAGCCUGUCGAGGGGGUCCUUCUCCUCCGACUGGGGGGGGGGUGUGCUGGCUUCUCCAGUACAAGCUUGGGCAUUGGGAGCUUGCCUGACAUCCUUGGCUUCGGGCCAUGGCCCCCAAGGUUUAGCUCCACCUUCUCGAGGUGAGAAGGUCAGCUCGGCACUAGUUGCUCCCCCCAGUCAAAAAUCGAAGACCUCUUCGGUCUCUUCAUCAAGCUCCAUCUUGGAAGACCACCGGAUGGCCCACGACUUGCUCCGAGGCAUACUUCUUCCGACGGACGUCAAAAGGUUGGAGGGCCAGAGUUUAGACAUCCAAUAAAGACAUGCCAUUGAUUCUGUUAUCCAAAUAAGUUUCUUUGACCUUACUUCCCUUUUGCACACUUUGAUUUACUUGUUUUUGUAGCUUGGUUAUUAUAUCAUCCAUUUUACCAACUUCAUAAAGGCAGCA
rnacentral:lncRNA from 1 species